rnacentral:rRNA from 1 species
AACAGGAUUAGAUACCCUGGUAGUCCACGCCGUAAACGAUGUCGACUUGGAGGUUGUGCCCUUGAGGCGUGGCUUCCGGAGCUAACGCGUUAAGUCGACCGCCUGGGGAGUACGGCCGCAAGGUUAAAACUCAAAUGAAUUGACGGGGGCCCGCACAAGCGGUGGAGCAUGUGGUUUAAUUCGAUGCAACGCGAAGAACCUUACCUACUCUUGACAUCCACGGAAUUCGGCAGAGAUGCCUUAGUGCCUUCGGGAACCGUGAGACAGGUGCUGCAUGGCUGUCGUCAGCUCGUGUUGUGAAAUGUUGGGUUAAGUCCCGCAACGAGCGCAACCCUUAUCCUUUGUUGCCAGCGAUUCGGUCGGGAACUCAAAGGAGACUGCCGGUGAUAAACCGGAGGAAGGUGGGGAUGACGUCAAGUCAUCAUGGCCCUUACGAGUAGGGCUACACACGUGCUACAAUGGCGCAUACAAAGAGAAGCGACCUCGCGAGAGCAAGCGGACCUCACAAAGUGCGUCGUAGUCCGGAUCGGAGUCUGCAACUCGACUCCGUGAAGUCGGAAUCGCUAGUAAUCGUGGAUCAGAAUGCCACGGUGAAUACGUUCCCGGGCCUUGUACACACCGCCCGUCACACCAUGGGAGUGGGUUGCAAAAGAAGUAGGUAGCUUAACCUUCGGGAGGGCGCUUACCACUUUGUGAUUCAUGACUGGGGGUGAAGUCGUAACAAGGUAACC